rnacentral:rRNA from 1 species
UAGAUACCCUAUUAUUUUGGAUUUAAAAGUUUAAACUUGAGUAGUAUUAGUUAUGAUCUUGAAACUUAAAGAAUUUGGCGGUAUUUUAGUCUAGUUAGAGGAAUCUGUCCCGUUAUCGAUAAUCCGCGUUGAACCUUACUUAAUAAAAUUUAAUAUGUAUACCGCCGUUUAUUUGAAAAUCUUUUUAGGGUUAAAUUUUCUUUAAAUUUUAAUUAAUUUUAUUUCAGGUCAAGGUGCAGUUGAUAAUUAAGUGGUGAUGGAUUACAUUAUUAGUGAAAUAAACGAAUUGAAGUUUGAAAAUGGUUUAUGAAGGAGGAUUUAAUAGUAAUUAUUAAUAAGAAUUAUUGUUGUGAUUGUAGCUCUAAAAUGUGUACACAUCGCCCGUCACUCUCGUUAUUAAGAUGAGAUAAGUC